rnacentral:lncRNA from 1 species
GGCGGCUUAUAAAUGACAAAAAUUAUUAUUCACAGUUCUAGAUGCUGGAAGUCCAGAAUCAGUGUGUCAGAAUGAUGGGCUUCUGUGAGGGCCCUCUCUGGGUUGCAGACUGUCCAGAUUGCAUUGUGUCCUCACAUGGUAAAAGGAGGGUGAGAGAGCUCUUUAGGGUCUCUUUCAUAGGGCACUAAUCUUAUUCAUGGGGGCUCUACCCUCAUGAUGGAAUCACUUCCCAAAGGUCCCACCUCCCAAUACCAUCACACGAGGAUUUCAAUGUAUGAAUUGGUGGGGGGCGGGGGGGGGACACAAACAGAAACUGAACAUAGGUAGACCUGUUAGGAAUCCACUGAGAUAAUCUCGGCUAAAAAUAGAGAGGUGGACUUAGGACCGGGCAGCAGAAUUGACAAAAGUGGGCUGAUUUUUAGAUACUACACAAUACACACACAUCAUCUCUUAUUUUAGUGUACAGGGUAUAAAGACUAGAGGAAAAAUCGUAUUAACCUCCAAGAGAGCCCAGCCAUGUUGGUUUUUGCUUGUAAUGUGUAAACCUUGUGACUAUCACAGGGACUGGCUCAUAGUUCAUGCGCCAAUAAACAUUUGAUGAAUAAAUGGCAAUAUCAAUUUUAACACACACACGUUUUCAUAAAAUAAAACAGGUCUGGUUAAGCCAUAAAUCAUAUAGAUUCUCUCUUGUAUCACCAUGAAUUCUAAACAAGAUCUUGAAAGCAGUAGGUACUUAGCCCCUAUGGAUAAUGAUAAAAAUGCUUUACGAAUUUUCUCUUUAGAUUUAAUAUGAUAAGCAAUCUGGAGCCACCACGUUGAAGAGCAUCCUAAUACAUUCUACCACUGAAAAUUGUCACACCACUUUGAAUGCUUUGUUGAAAAGAGUGUAAACGUGACCCUGACCAUUACUUACCCUAAUGAUUCCAGAAUUGAUUGCCCACUCUGUGCACAGCAGAUUCCUUCCUUUUCUAUCCGCAGGGACUCCUGCGCUGGCGUUUCCCUGCUCUGUGAGGUAGGCAGGAAUGCCAGGCUGAGCCGUGGCUGCUGCCUUAAUGCUCUGGCGGAGGGGGAGGUCGCUACCCUGAGAAGUGGGCAUUGUGUUCAAAGGGAAGAUGCCGGAGAAUCCUCAGAAAGGUGUUUCCAUGGUGCUGAAGGAGUGGAACAGCACUUGCCUCCAAGACUCUAUCCAGAGCCAUCCAUCAUCUCCCCUGACCUGUAGGGAGAAGGUCGUCAAAACCUGAGCCCUGAGGGCACUAAAGGAACCCAUUGCUGCCUGGCAAGGGAAACAAAGGAAGAAGAAAUACAACCGUGUGUGGGGGGUGUCAGAGAUAUACUCUAGGCCCAGGUUCACAUCUGAAGGAGGAGUCAGAACACUGUGAAGACCCAACGCCCUUGGAACCCACAUUUAUGGUAACUUCCUAAGCCUGAGGCCCAACAGAACGUCAGAAAAUUUCCCCCAUCCCAAGUCCCAAAACCACACUAACAAGUAUCAAAUCAUCAAAUCAAAAUAAUAAUGGAAUACACCUGGAGAGAAAUGUACAGAACAGAUUCUCUCUCAGCAGCAGUGCAAAGAUAAGACAAAACCUAACUGCAGAGACAAAAUCAAGGUGUACACACACACACACAUGCAAGUUCCUACAACAUAUCCAUACAAGUUCCUUUACAACAUAUCCAACUUUCAGCAAAACACUAUGAGGUAUAAAAAAGUCAAGAAUAAAUGUAAUCUUAAAAACA